rnacentral:rRNA from 1 species
UACGUAGGGGGCAAGCGUUGUCCGGAUUUACUGGGCGUAAAGCGCGCGUAGGCGGAGGGGUAACUCCGGUGUGAAAGCCCACGGCUCAACCGUGGAAGGACGCUGGAAAGUGCCCCCCUUGAGGGCGACAGAGGGAAGUGGAAUUGCUGGUGUAGCGGUGAAAUGCGUAGAUAUCAGCAGGAACACCCGUGGCGAAGGCGGCUUCCUGGGUCGCAACUGACGCUGAGGCGCGAAAGCGUGGGGAGCGAACGGG